UUUUUAUGAUAGAUUUUUGAGUUAGAUUGUUAAGUUAGAAAAUUAAGUUAUAUUUUUAAGUUAGAUUUUUUAGUUAGAUUGUUAAGUUAGAUUUUUAAGUUAUAUUUUUAAGUUAGAUUUUUUUUUAAGUUAGAUUUUUUUUAAGUUAGAUUUUUGUAUAUGUGUCCCCUCCGCCGUCCCGCCGCCGUGACCGCCGCCGUCACAACCUAGUAGGCACCGCCCGUGGUUCCGGGGAACCGUCCCCGCCUCCGCCGUACCGCCGCCCUAACCGCCGCCGUCACAACCUAGGCACCGCCCGUGGUUCCGGGGAACCGUCCCCGCCUCCGCCGUACCGCCGCCCUGACCGCCGCGGUCACAACCUAGGCACCGCAUGUGGUUAUUACUAGAAAUUUGUAGAAAUUUGUAGAAAUUCGUAGAAAUU
rnacentral:lncRNA from 1 species